rnacentral:tRNA from 1 species
GCGCCAGUGGUAUAAGGCAAACAUUGCUGCCCGAAAGCAAAAGAUGCGGGUUCGAGUCCCGCCUGGCGCA